rnacentral:misc_RNA from 1 species
AAGUUGUAACAAGGUUUCUGUAGGUGAACCUGCGGAAGGAUCAUUACCUAGAGUUGUAGGCUUUGCCUGCUAUCUCUUACCUAUGUCUUUUGAGUACCUUUGUUUCCUUGGCGGGUCUGCCCGCUGAUUGGACAAUUUAAACUAUUUGCAGUUGCAAUUAGCGUCUGAAAAAACUUAAUAGUUACAACUUUUAACAAUGGAUCUCUUGGUUCUG